rnacentral:rRNA from 1 species
UCUGGUUGAUCCUGCCAGUAGUCAUAUGCUUGUCUCAAAGAUUAAGCCAUGCAUGUCUAAGUACGGCUCUAGUACGGUGAAACUGCGAAUGGCUCAUUAAAUCAGUUUUGGUUCAUUUGAUCGUGAAAGUUACAUGGAUAACUGUUGUAAUUCAAGAGCUAAUACACGCUAAGAGUGUCGCUCUCUGGGCGGCGCGCUUUUAUCAGACCAAAACCAAUCACCUUCGGGUGUUCAUUGUGGUGAGUCUGGAUAAACUAGCUGAUCGCAUGGUCUCGAACCGGCGAUGGAUCAUUCAAGUGUCUGACCUAUCAACUGUCGAUGGUAGCGUAUUGGGCUACCAUGGUUGUAACGGGUAACGGAGAAUUAGGGUUUGGUUCCGGAGAGGGAGUCUGAGAAACGGCUACCACAUCUAAGGAAGGCAGCAGGCGCGCAAAUUACCCAUUCCCGACUCGGGGAGGUAGUGACGAAAAAUAACAAUUCAAGACUCUUAACGAGGCCUUGAAGUUGGAAUGAGUACACUUUAAAACUUUUAACGAGUAACUAUUGGAGGGCAAGUCUGGUCCCCCGUGCCCCGCCCGGGGCGCGCCCCGG